AGUUCAUGGUAUGGACAUUUUUGAAACAAAUCUCUAAACCUUUUCCACGUUUCAUAUAAUGAUGCAUCCUCUUGUUGGUUAAAACUAGUUAUAUCCAUUCUAAAUUU